GGUGGGAUUCCCGAGCGGCCAAAGGGGGCAGACUGUAAAUCUGCUGCGUAAGCUUCGAUGGUUCGAAUCCAUCUCCCACCACCA
rnacentral:tRNA from 1 species